UGGGGAAUUUUGGACAAUGGGCGAAAGCCUGAUCCAGCAAUGCCGCGUGUGUGAAGAAGGCCUUCGGGUUGUAAAGCACUUUUGUCCGGAAAGAAAUCCUUGGCUCUAAUACAGUCGGGGGAUGACGGUACCGGAAGAAUAAGCACCGGCUAACUACGUGCCAGCAGCCGCGGUAAUACGUAGGGUGCAAGCGUUAAUCGGAAUUACUGGGCGUAAAGCGUGCGCAGGCGGUUUGCUAAGACCGAUGUGAAAUCCCCGGGCUCAACCUGGGAACUGCAUUGGUGACUGGCAGGGCUAGAGUAUGGCAGAGGGGGGUUAGAAUUCCACGUGUAGCAGUGAAAUGCGUAGAGAUGUGGAGGAAUACCGAUGGCGAAGGCAGCCCCCUGGGCCAAUACUGACGCUCAUGCACGAAAGCGUGGGGAGCAAACAGGAUUAGAUACCCUGGUAGUCCACGCCCAAACGAUGUCAACUAGUUGUUGGGGAUUCAUUUCCUUAGUAACGUAGCUAACGCGUGAAGUUGACCGCCU
rnacentral:rRNA from 1 species